UUGAAAGCACACAUCUUCUUUUCGCCAUAACAAGAUAUCGGAAAAACAUGACCAAAGUCACAAAAUGAGAAUUCAGUAAUUUAGUUAGUGGUACAAUAAAAUAUGAAAAGAAAAUAGAGCACAAAAAUACUAUUUUGAGAACAAAGUAGGGUAGUGAUUUACAGAAGGUACAAUUAAUGGAUGAAAAGUGUUCCAACAAACAAAUUCGAUGUGAGCAAAGACAAGCGAACCGUGAGGGCACCUGUCGAAAACCGGAAACCAAAAAUAACAAUCUCCGUAUAACACAAAGUAACAAAUCCUUAAAAAACCUAAGGCUAGAGGCAAUAACCCAAGUCCUAAUCCUAUAGUAAUAAAUCCUAUUCUCUAAACUUCAAAAUGAUUACUAUAACUAAAUGAUCAUUGGGAAAUGACUUUUAAGUUUUAAAUACAAUGGAAGAGCGCAAAACAUAUGAAAACAAAAUACCACACUACAAAUAAAAAAUAGAACAAAAUCAAGCGAACAGUUAAAUUUGGAGAAGUGGAAUAGAUUUCUUGGAGUAGAAAGACAAAACGCUAAAUAAACACAAAAUUAGAAAGUAAAAAUAAAUAUUGGAGAUCAUAAGAACGCAAAAUAUCCAACCGAAAAGGUGAGCAAAUCACCUAAUAGGAAAUUAGGAAUAAACUAUAGUACUCUUUAUUUAAUGAUGAAGCAUCGUUUUUUUUUUUUUUCAUUAGGGAAUAUCACUUCAUUUACAAUCACCAAUCCUGCUACGAAGGUAUUUCCUAAUUAAAAGUAGUUUUGCUUCAACUUUCUAAAGUUACGACCUUGUAGUUCAUUUCCAACGUCACUUAUAGAGUUCUUGUAGCUAUACUAUUUACUUAAACCCAAUUUCAGUUACCAAUAUUGAAUUUGAUGAUUAUCCAGGUGGAGAGAUCAAUUAUUUGUUCAAUUACUGUCAAAUUACUUCAGACUCAGAAAAGGUCAAGCUACUGUAUUGAGCUGGGCUACAUGAUAGUAUACCUAAGAUUCUCCAGAGCUAUAGUUCUAUAUUUAUGAUGGCGUGUUAGUAUAUGAUCUAGGGCAUAAUUUGUUGGUGUGUUUGAAAAAUUGAUGUUUCAUAGGCAAACUCAAGUUGUUUAUACAUUUUAACGUGGACCCUAAAAACUAAUACUGCAUUUUAAUUUAUCGUGAUUUCAACGCGUAAGAGAGAAAAUGCAUGUUACGAAGACUUACUCAAGUGCAAGAUAAUGCUCACUACGCCCGUGGAGAUGUAACUCUUGAAGAAGUGAAUGUCAGUGAACAAGCACGUAUCUGAGAAUAAUUUAGAAAAAAGAAACACAUGAAUAUUUAAACUGAGAAUAAUUUAGAAAAAAGAAACACAUGAAUAUUUAAAUUACACAUGUGAAAAAAUCAAACAAAUCAUAUUUAAUAUUUUAACUGCAGGGAGGGGAAGCGGCGGGGUUUGAACCUUAGACCUCACUGUUCGAUAGGAGUUCGCACCGCUUGGUGCCUCCUUGAGGACAUCAAACAAAUCAUAUUAAUACUACUACAUUUUGUACAAAGAUUAGUACAUGAAAAAUUAAGAAUAUCAAAGUUUAAUUAAAAUCGUGCUUAUUUAUAAUUAAAAAUUAAGAAGGAACAAAUAAACUAAAAUCCUAUUGACUAUACAUAAUUAUAUCGAGCAUCCCUAUUUUGGAAACACCCGAUUAUAUUUUUGUCUAGUACUUCCAAUAUACCUCGGGAAAUUACUUCAAUCAGUAAACAUUGCAAAAGUAAUAAAUCAAACAAUAGUUAAAUCAAUUAUAUUCAAUUAAUUAAUCAAAAUAAGUUUAAGUUUGGUCUAAAAAAAAAUAAGUUUAAGUUAAACACUAUUAUUAUCAAUCAAAGAUAGAGAGUUAGUUAAAAUCCCCACAAUAUACUGCCCUGUUCCACGGUGCUCUCUCAUUCUCGGUUGCACCCAUAGUCUCCCCUCUUUGUGUACCCUGUCAACUCUCUCUCUCUCUCUCUCUACACUGUCUCACAGCUUCAUCUGUCUCUCCACUUCACAUUUGCAACAGAGAAUGAAUAUCAUCCCCGACUAUCAAAUCCCAAAUCCUUCUUCUUCUUCUUCCCCCUUCUUCUUAAUUUCCGGUGAAUAACCAGAACGGUUUGUUCUCUCCAUCAAUCACCGCUGUUCCCUAUCGUCGACCACUCUCCUCAGCUUGGCCGGACAAUCAGCAGCUAAGAAAACUGCGCCGAUGCCGCCGCCGACCACCACUCUCAACACAGACAACAGCACAAGAAAUUGAGCCACAACUCAGCCAAGACUGGUCGUUCCCAAUCGUCAGCACACCUAAGCUGCUGCCGAUGCCAACGCUGACCGGCACCCUCAACGCAAGAAACAAACCAAGAAACCCAGCCCCAAGAAUAUAGUUGUAUUGUCUUGUGCUGCGCUCGGUUUUGUGAAAAAAAUCUAGGGUUCAUCAGAAAAUUUAAUGAUAAAAUGCAGGUUUACGAAAUCAAAGCUCACCUCCUUGUUUUGUUGGUGUAAUGGAUUUCUCUAGUGUGAUUUUUGCACUUUCACCAUUGAAUUUGAGGGAGAUUCUUACAGCAGAACUUCUUUUCUUUUCAUCGCCGGAACUGUAUUAGAAAUAUUAGAGUAAAAAGGUGAAAGUGAAAAACAAAAAUUUUGUGAAUCAGAUGACAUAAAGCAGAGUCAAAUAUUGGAAAAAGGUCACAGAAAUAAAAUUACGAAAAUGUCAUGGACACUAUUUUUUCUACAGUACUAUUCCUCCCAAUAGUACCCCACUCCUCUCUUAUUAAGAUUGUUAAAUUAACAAUUCAAUUUUAGUGGGACUCUUUUUUUCUAUUUUAUACACAUCUUUCAAUAUUUUUUUAAAACUUGCGCCCCUUCCAC
rnacentral:lncRNA from 1 species